GAUCCUGGCUCAGAAUCAACGCUGGCGGCGCGCUUAACACAUGCAAGUCGAACGAGAAAGGGGAGCAAUCCCUGAGUACAGUGGCGUACGGGUGAGUAACACGUGGAUGAUCUAUCUCUUAGUGGGGAAUAACCCUGGGAAACCGGGGAUAAUACCGCAUAAGCUCGAGAGAGGAAAGCAGCAAUGCGCUGAGAGAGGAGUCCGCGGCCGAUUAGCUAGUUGGCAGGGUAAAAGCCUACCAAGGCAGAGAUCGGUAGCCGGCCUGAGAGGGCACACGGCCACACUGGCACUGAAACACGGGCCAGACUCCUACGGGAGGCAGCAGUGGGGAAUCUUGCACAAUGGGGGAAACCCUGAUGCAGCGACGCCGCGUGAGCGAUGAAGCCCUUCGGGGUGUAAAGCUCUUUCGGCAGGGAAGAUUAUGACGGUACCUGCAGAAGCAGCUGCGGCUAACUACGUGCCAGCAGCCGCGGUAAUACGUAGGCAGCGAGUGUUGUUCGGAGUUACUGGGCGUAAAGGGUGUGUAGGCGGUUGUUUAAGUUUGGUGUGAAAUCUCCCGGCUCAACUGGGAGGGUGCGCCGAAUACUGAAUGACUUCGAGUGCGGGAGAGGUGAGUGGAAUUCCUGGUGUAGCGGUGAAAUGCGUAGAUAUCAGGAGGAACACCGGUGGUGUAGACGGCUCACUGGACCG
rnacentral:rRNA from 1 species